rnacentral:rRNA from 1 species
UACGUAGGGUGCGAGCGUUGUCCGGAAUUAUUGGGCGUAAAGAGCUUGUAGGCGGUUUGUCGCGUCUGCUGUGAAAACCCGGGGCUCAACCCCGGGCCUGCAGUCGAUACGGGCAGACUAGAGUGCUGUAGGGGAGACUGGAAUUCCUGGUGUAGCGGUGAAAUGCGCAGAUAUCAGGAGGAACACCGGUGGCGAAGGCGGGUCUCUGGGCCGAUACUGACGCUGAGGAGCGAAAGCGUGGGGAGCGAACAGG